AGUUUGUCUUUGCACCGGUUACCAAGAAGUGAAAAUAGAAAAGGAGAAUGGUUAGAAGCAAUUGAAACUGAAAAUAUCAAGCCAAAUGUAUAGGAUAUAAUAUCAUAGUAUGUUCCCUACAUUUCCCCGAAAGUGCUUUCAAUAGAACAAUGGAUGUGAUUAGUCUGCACGAUGAUGCUAUACCAGUAUGUCUGCCGCUGCAUUCACACAGGGUACCAGUUGAGCCUCAAAUCCCGAACUCAAAAAUGAACAGAGUGUAUCCGAGUGCAUUCCAGGCUGCACAAAAUAGUUUAGCUCUAUAAUUUACUCUAUUAUUAUAUAUCAUUGUUUUUUUUGUCUAUUAUUUAUAAAUAAAUAAAUACAAUUACUGUAUAUUGUGUUGUUCAUCGUAAUAAAAUACAAUUAUAUACCUAUAUUAGUAUAUAUUAUGUUGUUUCAUUAUAUUACAUUCCUCAAAACUGAAAUUACCAAAUUGUAAGUCUACCGAAAUCCUUAUAUCGAAGUCAAAAUUGAACUGGAUUUAUCAAAUUAUACAGGGUUAGCUAUCUUGUCCGGCGAGGUUGCUGGUGUUUUACAAGUAACCCUGUAUAGGUGUUACCGUCACGAGCAGCCAUCGUCAUACUUAAUUUUAUUAAUUGGCAUUGUCAUUUUUUCCAUUUGUAAUUUUACUUCUAUGUUUUGUACAAUAAAGUUAAAAUAAAUAAAAAAGAGUGUGUGUUUAUGUACACGCGUUACAAGU